CUGGUUGAUCCUGCCAGUAGUCAUAUGCUCAAUUCGAAGAUUAAGCCAUGCAAGUGUCAGUAUAAGAUUUUAUACGUCGAAACUGCGAAUAGCUCAUUAAAACAAUUAUAGUUUAUGCGGAAAUACAUUACUACACGGAUACCUGUGGUAAUUCUGGAGCUAAUACGUGAAUCAACAUCCAUUAGGAUGUCACUUAUUAGAUAAGAACCAACCUAUGCUUGCAUAGUGGUUUGGUGAUCCAUAAUAACUUAGUGAAUCGCAUGGUCUCAACCGGCGAUAGUCCGCCUAAGUUUUUGACCUAUCAGCUAGACGGUACGGUAUUGUCCUAUCGUGGCUUUGACGGGUAACGGGGAAUUAGGGUUUGAUUCCGGAGAGGGAGCCUGAGAAACAGCUACCACUUCCACGGAAGGCAGCAGGCGCGCAAAUUGUCCAAUCCCAACACCUUGGGGAGACAGUGAAAAGAAAUAUCAAUGCAGGGCUUUAUAGCUUUGCAAUUGGAAUGAGUUUAACCUAAUAUACCCGUUUACAAGUAUCAAUUGGAGGAAAAGUCUGGUGCCA
rnacentral:rRNA from 1 species